GACGAACGCUGGCGGCGUGCUUAACACAUGCAAGUCGAACGGAAGGGCCCUGCUUUUGUGGGGUGCUCGAGUGGCGAACGGGUGAGUAACUCGUGAGUAACCUGCCCUUGACUUUGGGAUAACUUCAGGAAACUGGGGAUAAUACCGGAUAGGUGCUCCUGCUGCAUGGUGGGGGUUGGAAAGUUUCGGCGGUUGGGGAUGGACUCGCGGCUUAUCAGCUUGUUGGUGGGGUAGUGGCUUACCAAGGCUUUGACGGGUAGCCGGCCUGAGAGGGUGACCGGCCACAUUGGGACUGAGAUACGGCCCAGACUCCUACGGGAGGCAGCAGUGGGGAAUAUUGCACAAUGGGCGGAAGCCUGAUGCAGCAACGCCGCGUGCGGGAUGACGGCCUUCGGGUUGUAAACCGCUUUCGCCUGUGACGAAGCGUGAGUGACGGUAAUGGGUAAAGAAGCACCGGCUAACUACGUG
rnacentral:rRNA from 1 species